rnacentral:rRNA from 1 species
UACGUAGGGGGCAAGCGUUACUCGGAUUCAUUGGGCGUAAAGCGAAUGUAGGCGGCCUUGUAAGUCAGAUGUGAAAUCCCUCAGCUUAACUGAGGAACUGCAUUUGAUACUGCUUGGCUUGAGGACAGGAGAGGAAAGUGGAAUUCCCGGUGUAGCGGUGGAAUGCGUAGAUAUCGGGAGGAACACCAGAGGCGAAGGCGGCUUUCUGGACUGUUCCUGACGCUGAGAUUCGAAAGCCAGGGGAG